CCCUUAGAUGUUCUGGGCCGCACGCGUGCUACACUGAGUAAUUCAAUGGGUAAGGGAACGCUAGAGCAUUACCUAAUCUUGAAAUUUGCUCGUGAUGGGGAUCGACGGUUGCAAUUUUCCGUCGUGAACGAGGAAUACCUUGUAGGCGCAAGUCAUCAUCAUGCGCCGAAUACGUCCCUGCCCUUUGUACACACCGCCCGUCGCUCCUACCGAUUGAGUGAUCCGGUGAGGCUCUGGGACCUGGACGGAAAGAGCGUUUCGCUUGUUCUGUUUGGGAAACUUGGUCGAACCUUAUCAUUUAGAGGAAGGAGAAGUCGUAACA
rnacentral:rRNA from 1 species